GCAGAAACUGAGUUCUUUGUUCCAAGAGAGAAAAUUAAUGUGCAGCUUCUUGCUGCAGAAUAGAACAUGGAAAGUACUGAAAGCUGCCUGUGAUGUGAUAUGGCUGAGAUCGGUGUACAAACGUGAGGAAGGAUUGCUUCUCCUGGAAGGGUGCUUUACCUAGCCUGCUGUUACUGUUCAUAUGCACAUAAGACUUGAAAAUUCGAUGAGUCUGGGUCCUGUCACUCCUGUGGCUCAUGAAGAACUAACCUGGAAAGACCUGUUAAUCUUCAUGGUCUGGAAAGGUCUGGUUUCCCUACAUCCCAGUGAACAGGUGUAUAAAGAGCGGAAAGGACAUGGGUGGAAAAUCAGAUGCUCUCCUACAAGAAGUGGGAUGUGAACACAGUGAGCAGCACUUCUGCCUGGCCUUGAAACCAGAGAAGUCUGUCAACUGCGCUUCGGCAUAUUCUUGUGGAAGUGCCCCCUGCUGCCACGUACAAAGACUUACAGCAGAUUACAACACGGCAACUUCUAACUGUAUUCCGUGCAGUGUCUUUCAUUCUACAUGUGCUCAAAGUGCUUUACAAUAUACAAACAGCAAUAGAAAAUGUACAAAACAAAUAUGUCUUCAAACAGAGGAGCUGCUUUCUUCAGAUGGCAAAAAUGACACUUUUCCACAAGAGAAGAGCAAUAGAAAUGAGCCUGUACUGGCAGAGGCAUUCUGAAUUCUCCCCAGUUUAAGACAACUUAAUUCCAAGAAUGAUUGUUCUUCGUGACUUUAUAAUGACUUGAACCAAACAUAAAUUAAGAAAAUAGAGAUUUAGGUGGGAUUAUCAAUCUAAAUUUACUCCCAAA